ACGUGAUACAAUGGAUGGUACAACGAGUCGCGAGACAGUGAUUUUUAGCUAAUCUCUUAAAACCAUUCUCAGUUCGGAUUGUAGGCUGCAACUCGCCUACAUGAAGUCGGAAUCGCUAGUAAUCGCGGAUCAGCACGCCGCGGUGAAUACGUUCCCGGGCCUUGUACACACCGCCCGUCACACCACGGGAGUUGGGAGUACCCGAAGUAGGUUGCCUAACCGCAAGGAGGGCGCUUCCUAAGGUAAGACCGAUGACUGGGGUGAAGUCGUA
rnacentral:rRNA from 1 species